AUACAUACCUGGUGUCGGACUGCCAAUGAUCAUCGAGGUCGGAAUCCCGAGCCGAGGCCUAUCCAUUGCACUGCGGUUGGCUGAGGCACGCCACUACCCCAACUGGGGUAGGUCCGGCAUGUAAUUUUUGGUAGCGGGGCUAGGCCAAG
rnacentral:snRNA from 1 species